rnacentral:lncRNA from 1 species
ACUCAUGGAUUGAGUUUUUGGGUUAGGAGUUGAGUUCGAUGCAAUGGGUACCAAAAGGAUGUCACUUGAUUCUAAAUAUGCAUACUUAAGUGUGAUCAAGGAUGAUUUUAGUUUUGAAGGAGGUGAUGAUUCUAGAGAGGGAGAACCAGAUUCUAGGACUGAAAAAAAUGAAACUCUUAGUUUAUAUGUCUCGGUUAACUCAUCCGCUCUCUUUUUUCUUUUAUCUUUCUCACUCAGAUUAGAACCAGCA